UACGGAGGGUGCAAGCGUUAUCCGGAUUCACUGGGUUUAAAGGGUGCGUAGGUGGGCCUGUAAGUCAGCGGUGAAAUCUCCGGGCUUAACCCGGAAACUGCCAUUGAUAACUAUAGGUCUUGAAUUAUCUGGAGGUAAGCGGAAUAUGUCAUGUAGCGGUGAAAUGCUUAGAUAUGACAUAGAACACCAAUUGCGAAGGCAGCUUACUACGGAUACAUUGACACUGAGGCACGAAAGCGUGGGGAUCAAACAGG
rnacentral:rRNA from 1 species